rnacentral:rRNA from 1 species
GGUGUUGGGUUAAGUCCCGCAACGAGCGCAACCCCUAUGUUUAGUUGUCAGCAUUCAGUUGGGCACUCUAGACAGACUGCCGGUGUUAAACCGGAGGAAGGUGGGGAUGACGUCAAGUCCUCAUGGCCUUUAUAUNNAGGGCUACACACGUGCUACAAUGGUAGGUACAGAGGGAAGCAAGAGUGCAAACUGGAGCAAAUCCCAAAAAACCUANNNAAGUUCGGAUCGAAGNCUGCAACUCGNNNUCGUGAAGCUGGAAUCGCUAGUAAUCGUGGAUCAGAACGCCACGGUGAAUACGUUCCCGGGCCUUGUACACACCGCCCGUCACACCAUGAAAGUUGUGCCUACCAGAAGUCGCUGCGUUGACCGCAAGGAGACAGGCGCCCAAGGUAGGAGCGAUGAUUGGGGUGAAGUCGUAACAAGGUAAC